AUAGCCUGUCAUUACACUAAUUCCUGAGAAAAUCAAAUAAGACAACCACUCAAUUUACUCUUUAAUUUACUCAUCAAGGCACUUAGGAAGAGGCUGAAGGAGAUCACUGGGUCUGCAGGGAACAGGAAAUCACAGUGUAAAAGAAGCAAGGGGCUGAAGAAAUGGCUAUAGGCAGAGAUGUCAAGACAUGGCCACAACGAUGACUGCUAUUAUCUGCAUUGUCUCCAAGAUGACAUCUACUUUCUUUGGAACACUGGACUCCAUUAAAGAAAGAGUUCAAUUGGUUUUCUAGUGGACAGAUAAUAGGUAUCCAUCCUACACUUGUGUGCCUAAGGGAAAGCUGAAACCAUUCCUUGACCAGAGAAUUCCAGACUUGGCUAAGGGCAGUGUUUCUCAAAAAGGGUCUCUAACAAGACAUUUCAGGUUUGCCUUUGAAUCACUAGCCACAAGUAAGAACAGCUGUACGUAAGAAACCAGGGAGAAAGACUGUAAUGUCAUUGAAGACUCUAAAUUCACCAGUGACCAGGGAAAAACUCAACCAGUUUAUUGAGUGAAACUGAAUGUGCAGUGAAAACCAGUGACCUGUUGGCUGUAUGUUCAUCCUGCAAUAGGCUCUUUGGCCUAACUUCAAAUGGGCAAAGAAGAUGUGUUGUCAAUGAUUGCUUGGAAUACAGUACAGAAGAAAUCUAAUGUCAUGAUUGAGUAGUGAUGUCUGCCUUGGGCAAAAGUGGUAUAUAAUUUUGGAAAAGACAGACAUCAGAUGACUACUCCCUCCUUCCCCCAUCCUCAGACCCUGCCACCAUGCAGCUAGC